rnacentral:lncRNA from 1 species
AUUGAGACCAUCCUGAGCAACAUGGUGAAACCCUAUCUCUACUAAAAGUACAAAAAAUUUGCCGGGCGUGGUGGUGCGUGCCUGUUGUCUCAGCUACUCAGGGGACUGAGGCAGGAGAAUUGCUUAAAACCGGAAAACGGAAGUUGCAGUGAGCUGGGAUCGCGCCACUGCAUUCCAGCCUGGUGACAGAGCCAGACUCUGUCUCAAAGAAAAACAAACAAACAAAAAAACAAUGACGAAACACAGUAAGUUCACAAGAUGGGGUUUCACUAUGUUGACCAGGAUGGCCUCAAACUCCUGUCCUCAGGUGAUCCACCUGCCUUUGCCUCCUGAAGUGCUGGGAUUACAGGCACGACCCACAGCACCCAGCCAGAAGAGAUACUUAUGCAAAGAAAGAUAUUAUUCACAAAAGACCGAUUCUUAUGGAUUCUGGAGCUCAUAUAGAAAAAAAUGUUAUUUUCAUCUUCCCUGAAGCAAAUAGAGUACAAUAACAGCAGAAAGAAAAAAAAAAACACAUAGAACAUGUUGGCUUCCUAUUGAAAGGAAAUGAAGAAUAAUGUUUCCCUCAGAUACCUUUA